AUGAACGCUAGCUACAGGCUUAACACAUGCAAGUCGAGGGGCAGCAUGGUCUUAGCUUGCUAAGGCCGAUGGCGACCGGCGCACGGGUGAGUAACACGUAUCCAACCUGCCGUCUACUCUUGGACAGCCUUCUGAAAGGAAGAUUAAUACAAGAUGGCAUCAUGAGUCCGCAUGUUCACAUGAUUAAAGGUAUUCCGGUAGACGAUGGGGAUGCGUUCCAUUAGAUAGUAGGCGGGGUAACGGCCCACCUAGUCUUCGAUGGAUAGGGGUUCUGAGAGGAAGGUCCCCCACAUUGGAACUGAGACACGGUCCAAACUCCUACGGGAGGCAGCAGUAAGGAAUAUUGGUCAAUGGGCGAGAGCCUGAACCAGCCAAGUAGCGUGAAGGAUGACUGCCCUAUGGGUUGUAAACUUCUUUUAUAAAGGAAUAAAGUCGGGUAUGGAUACCCGUUUGCAUGUACUUUAUGAAUAAGGAUCGGCUAACUCCGUGCCAGCAGCCGCGGUAAUACGGAGGAUCCGAGCGUUAUCCGGAUUUAUUGGGUUUAAAGGGAGCGUAGAUGGAUGUUUAAGUCAGUUGUGAAAGUUUGCGGCUCAACCGUAAAAUUGCAGUUGAUACUGGAUAUCUUGAGUGCAGUUGAGGCAGGCGGAAUUCGUGGUGUAGCGGUGAAAUGCUUAGAUAUCACGAAGAACUCCGAUUGCGAAGGCAGCCUGCUAAGCUGCAACUGACAUUGAGGCUCGAAAGUGUGGGUAUCAAACAGGAUUAGAUACCCUGGUAGUCCACACGGUAAACGAUGAAUACUCGCUGUUUGCGAUAUACGGCAAGCGGCCAAGCGAAAGCGUUAAGUAUUCCACCUGGGGAGUACGCCGGCAACGGUGAAACUCAAAGGAAUUGACGGGGGCCCGCACAAGCGGAGGAACAUGUGGUUUAAUUCGAUGAUACGCGAGGAACCUUACCCGGGCUUAAAUUGCAGAUGAAUUACGGUGAAAGCCGUAAGCCGCAAGGCAUCUGUGAAGGUGCUGCAUGGUUGUCGUCAGCUCGUGCCGUGAGGUGUCGGCUUAAGUGCCAUAACGAGCGCAACCCUUGUUGUCAGUUACUAACAGGUUCUGCUGAGGACUCUGACAAGACUGCCAUCGUAAGAUGUGAGGAAGGUGGGGAUGACGUCAAAUCAGCACGGCCCUUACGUCCGGGGCUACACACGUGUUACAAUGGGGGGUACAGAGGGCCGCUACCACGCGAGUGGAUGCCAAUCCCAAAAACCUCUCUCAGUUCGGACUGGAGUCUGCAACCCGACUCCACGAAGCUGGAUUCGCUAGUAAUCGCGCAUCAGCCACGGCGCGGUGAAUACGUUCCCGGGCCUUGUACACACCGCCCGUCAAGCCAUGGGAGCCGGGGGUACCUGAAGUGCGUAACCGCGAGGAGCGCCCUAGGGUAAAACUGGUGACUGGGGCU
rnacentral:rRNA from 1 species